AUACGGAGGAUGCGAGCGUUAUCCGGAUUUAUUGGGUUUAAAAGGUGCGUAGGCGGUUUGCUAAGCGGGAGGUGAAAUGCCGGCGCUCAACGUCGGAAGUGCCUCCCGAACUGGUGGACUGGAAUGACUCUGCCGUGGGAGGAAUGUGUAGUGUAGCGGUGAAAUGCUUAGAGAUUACACAGAACACCGAUUGCGAAGGCAUCUCACGAAGGGUUGAUUGACGCCGAGGCACGAAAGCGUGGGGAUCAAACAGGAUUAGAUACCCUGGUAGUCCACGCAGUAAACGAUGAUGGCUAACCGCUGGUUUAUUCGGAUCAGUGGCCAAGCGAAAGCGAUAAGCCAUCCACCUGGGGAGUACGACCGCAAGGUUGAAACUCAAAUGAAUUGACGGGG
rnacentral:rRNA from 1 species